rnacentral:rRNA from 1 species
AUUGAACGCUGGCGGCAGGCCUAACACAUGCAAGUCGAGCGGAUGAAGAGAGCUUGCUCUCUGAUUCAGCGGCGGACGGGUGAGUAAUGCCUAGGAAUCUGCCUGAUAGUGGGGGACAACGUUUCGAAAGGAACGCUAAUACCGCAUACGUCCUACGGGAGAAAGCAGGGGACCUUCGGGCCUUGCGCUAUCAGAUGAGCCUAGGUCGGAUUAGCUAGUUGGUGAGGUAAUGGCUCACCAAGGCGACGAUCCGUAACUGGUCUGAGAGGAUGAUCAGUCACACUGGAACUGAGACACGGUCCAGACUCCUACGGGAGGCAGCAGUGGGGAAUAUUGGACAAUGGGCGAAAGCCUGAUCCAGCCAUGCCGCGUGUGUGAGAAGGUCUUCGGAUUGUAAAGCACUUUAAGUUGGGAGGAAGGGCAUUAACCUAAUACGUUAGUGUUUUGACGUUACCGACAGAAUAAGCACCGGCUAACUUCGUGCC